rnacentral:rRNA from 1 species
CAGUAGCCGCGGUAACACGGAGGGUGCAAGCGUUAUCCGGAUUCACUGGGUUUAAAGGGUGCGUAGGCGGAUCUGUAAGUCAGUGGUGAAAUCUCCAGGCUUAACCUGGAAACUGCCGUUGAUACUAUAGGUCUUGAAUUUUGUGGAGGUUAGCGGAAUAUGUCAUGUAGCGGUGAAAUGCAUAGAUAUGACAUAGAACACCAAUUGCGAAGGCAGCUGGCUACACAACUAUUGACGCUGAGGCACGAAAGCGUGGGGAACAAACAGGAUUAGAUACCCCAGUAGUCCCUGUCUCUUAUAC